GGGCACUUGGCACAGUUGGUAGCGCGCACGCUUCGCAUAACUGAAUGUUGAUUCAGGUUUUUCUGCGUGAGGUCGGGAGUUCGACUCUCCCAGUGUCCA
rfam:Lentinula edodes NBRC 111202 DNA, contig: scaffold2.